AAAAUAGUUGUAUUUUUUUUAGAAAAAAAUGGGUAAGGGGUAAGGGGAAAUGGGGAAGAAAAUUACAAGGUGAAAAAUCAAAUUAUAACCAAUAAGUUGAAAGUUCAGUUAGCCAAUCAUCUGAGUUAUUAAGAUUUUUCAAAUUAUAACCAAUAAGUUGAAAGUCCAGCUAGCCAAUCAACUGAGCUAUAAAAUUAACUUGUAAGUGUAGUGACACAUUCUUAUUUGAUAAGACACUGAUUAGAUUAACAGAGACAGUCGGGGGCAUUCGUAUUUCAUAGUUAGAGGUGAAAUUCUUAGAUUUAUGAAAGACGAACAACUGCGAAAGCAUUUGUCAAGGAUGUUUCCAUUAAUCAAGAACGAAAGUUGGGGGCUCGAAGACGAUCAGAUACCGUUCUAGUCUCAACCAUAAACGAUGCCGACCAGGGAUCGGCGAAUGUUGCUUUUAGGGCUCCGCCGGCACCUUAUGAGAAAUCAAAGUUGUUGGGUU
rnacentral:ncRNA from 1 species